rnacentral:pre_miRNA from 1 species
GCAGUAUUCCCUCCGUCCCAAAAUUCUUGUCUUACAUUUGUUUAGAUACGGAUGUAUCUAACACUAAAAUGUAACUAGAUACAUCCGUAUUUAGACAAAUUUAAGACAAGAAUUUUGGGACGGAGGGAGUNUUGG